rnacentral:rRNA from 1 species
UACGGGGGGGGCAAGCGUUGUUCGGAAUUACUGGGCGUAAAGCGCGCGUAGGUGGUUUGUUAAGUUGGAUGUGAAAGCCCCGGGCUCAACCUGGGAACUGCAUCCAAAACUGGCAAGCUAGAGUACGGUAGAGGGUGGUGGAAUUUCCUGUGUAGCGGUGAAAUGCGUAGAUAUAGGAAGGAACACCAGUGGCGAAGGCGACCACCUGGACUGAUACUGACACUGAGGUGCGAAAGCGUGGGGAGCAAACAGG